ensembl:lncRNA
UUGACUUUGUGUUUUUCUUCUUUUCUAAAGUAGGCAUACAGUGCUAUAAAUUUCCUUUGAAGCACUACUUUUAGACGGUGGUGUUAUUUUCACUAAAUUUGUUUUUAGUUUCUUGAUUUUCUUUUGGUACCAAGCAUUGAACUCAGGACCUUGCACUUGUGAGGCAGGCAUGGUGCCACUGAGCUAAAUCCCCUGCCCUUGAGAUUUUUUUUUUUUUUUUUUGGUGCCAGGGAUUGAACUUGGGUCCUUGCGCUUGCACAGCAGGCGGCGAAACCACUGAGCUAAAUCCCUGGCGAGAUUUAUUUUUUGACCCAUGUACAAUUUAUAGUAUGUUGUUUAACCUCAUCCAUUUGGAGAUUUUCCAUUAUCUUUCUGUUACCGGGUUCGUUUAAUUCCAGCAUGGUAUAUACUUUAUCGCCCAGAAAGUCAAGGUGAAGAUACCAAGGGAUUUGCCCACUCCUCCUGGUGGUACCUGCUGUGUCAACGCACAGGGUGGAGGGGACAGAGCUUGCCCGGGAGCCACUUGGCAGGAGACCACACCAGGCCUGCACCAGAGGCCUCCGAUCGUCUCACUGGAAACUACAACUGAGGGGGUGGCCGUUUAGCUCCAUCCAUGGUAUUGCAACUUCAUAAUAUGAAAUACAACUGUAUUUUCUCCUUCUUUCUCACCCAUCUAUACAGAAAUUGGGUUCAAGUUCACCUAACAUAUUAUUCCAGGUGUGUAUUUUAUAUUUAUGUCUUCAUUCUGGAUCACAAGCUUCUUGAAGGAGCAGAAGUUUAUUCAUACUUUUAUUCCCACCAAUAAGAAUGGUUUUAGAUCCAUAAGGUAAAAGUAUUUUUAGCAACUUAAUUACCACAGAGGCAGGAUUAUGCUAGAAUUUUCUUUUCACCAGCCCUGUAGAGUAGAAAACAAGCCGCAUCUUAUGUAAAAUAUACAAACAGGUAUGAACUCCAUAUUCCUGUUCUGUGACCAGACUGGCUGACUUGGGUUGAGGAGAAAUGUGCUAUUGCAGAGACUGGUGUCAUUUGAGGACAUGGCAGCAUUUGGACAAUGCUCAGAGGACCCUGUACAGGGAUGUGAUGCUGGAGACCUACCGCAGCCUGGUGUCAUUGGAUGAGCCAACAUCUUCUCAGGAUCCAUUCAUACUGCUUCCUACUGUUGAGGUAGAAGGCUCCGGACCGUGAAGAAUGUGUCAUCCCUCUCAGCAGAUCAGAUUGGCAUCUUCAUGGCACAGCUCCUCAGUCUGAGCUCUUGUCAGUUUUCAAAGGACCUGAGUUAGCAGUUGGCAAAACCCGACAUUAUUUCUCGUGAACAGGGCAUCUCAUGACUAAACCUGAGGUGAUCUUCAAGUUAGAGCAGGCAGUAGAGCCAUGGGUGAUGAGAAAACCCUCAGACCCGAGCCUGCCAGGUCAGUGUGUGUGUCACGGCCAGAAGGGCCAGGAAGCCUGGGGCCCAGCAGAUUUGGCAGUGUGGCUGUUUGUAGCUGUUUUGUCCAGACCUGAGGACACGUGGUCUGUGUGCAUCAAACAUAUUCCCACCUUUUUGUCUGCUUGGUAUUUUCUUACAUUUAUCCCAACUAGACUCUCUACCUACC